CCAAUAGCGUAUAUUAAAGUUGUUGCAGUUAAAAAGCUCGUAGUUGGAUUUCUGGUGGGAGCGAUCGGUCUGGCGCUUAGCGCGAGUACUUGCAUCGUCUCCGGCCAUCCUUGGGGAGAGUCUGUCUGGCAUUAGGUUGUCGGGCAGAGGAUCCUCAUCGUUUACUGUGAAAAAAUUAGAGUGUUCAAAGCAGGCUUAUGCCGUUGAAUAUAUUAGCAUGGAAUAAUAAGAUAGGACUUUGGUACUAUUUUGUUGGUUUGCGCACCAAAGUAAUGAUUAAUAGGGACAGUUGGGGGUAUUCGUAUUCCGUUGUCAGAGGUGAAAUUCUUGGAUUUACGGAAGACGAACUACUGCGAAAGCAUUUACCAAGGAUGUUUUCAUUA
rnacentral:rRNA from 1 species